AGGAAAUCACAGCCAUACGAGCUGCGCUCCCCCAGCUGAACUGUAUCUGCAUUUUAACAGUGGAAGAAAAGACAUUAUAUGGCAUCGCGCUCCUCCCGCAACCCUGCCAGCCUCAUCUGUCAGCCAUUACUUAAUCAUGGCCGAUAACACAGAGCACAGAGAGCUGGCACAGCGCGUGGGACCAGAAGACAGUUUCACCUCUGAGAGCAAGAGGAGGGCAAGGACUCAGGGACCUCUGAUUCAGCGAUCUACAGCUGGGUUGCUUCACUCACCAGCACCCACUCAGGACUGGCAGGCAGAAACCUCGAGAUGACCCAACCCACUGCUUUAAUCUAAACAGGGAGGUUUCAGAGACAGAAGCCAAAACAACACAUGUUAUCAACAUGGGAACAGCUGGUUUUCACAGACGUAUUAACACAAGAUCCACAUUGAACUUCCAAAUGGCUAAAACAUUCUGACCUAAACGUGUAAGUAUGAACUUGCCAUAAAGUGUUAAAUAAACAGCAGGUUGAGCGGCAUGUACAACAGUCUCCAACACAGUUUGCUUUUCAAGUCAACACCACUCAGAUAGAAUAUAACAAGUGACAUAAGGAAAAAAAUGGACUAUCCAGUCAAUUUUUCCAACUCUAAAGAUUCCACCGAGACAUUUCUCAAUGAGCUUGUUAAACAUCCUGCAAUGAGCGCUAUAAUGAACACAGCCAAAAAUGAAGAGUAGUCAUAUAAACAUAAGAAUAAAGCAAAUUCUUGAUGGCACAACUUGGAAAAACACAAACAGCAGAUCAGUUAGUCAUAAAGUAGUGACCUGUGACACGGGGCAGCCAAGUCAAACUUCCUCUUCCUGCUAAAUGUUACGCAGCUGCUUUUCUUUUUACAAACAGCAACGUAUGGAAAAGCUCAAAGAAGAGAAAGAUCUGAACCUUUCAAUUUUUUCUAGGAAAAAGAAAUGUACAAGGAACUGAUGCAAAGGAAUCUUACACUUAAUGCAUAUUUUCAAAGUGGUAUUCAGUUUUGUUUUUAGCCUUUGUGUGGAGAUUGCCUUGUUUACCUUAUAAAUUGUUUUCCUCUCUUUCACCAUCAUUUUCUUUUUGUUUUGUAGCUCUCCAACACUGUACCUCAUUUUAGUCCAAGUCCAAGGACGGUAUCAAUUCUUAGCAAAGGAAAAUUUUUCCACCAGAGGAAAAAUACAAUAGGAAUCAAGACAGAAAGUAAAUAACAACAAUGACGGAGAACAGAUAAUAGUCAGGUCUCAGAGUUCCUCCGUCAAUCCAAAUGCAUCAUGCAGGGGUCAUGUGGUGAGGUGGAAUUAACAUCCUUUAUAACUUCAAAAAGAAACAGAACUACCAGGUGGUGAUAUAUUAAGGUUUUUAUUUUAGCUAAAAGUUGAAACAAAGCGCUCUUUGCUCUGUUACUGAAACUGACCUAGAAGACAGUAUCAAUCAUUAUCGCACCCACAAGAGGGGAAACAGUCCAUUUCACUUCGUCACUUGAUAGCAUCGACAUGCCCAAACAUGAACAGGCCCCAUUAAGUCUGUGGUGGUAGCCUCAUGUGAGAGGACUUUUCAUGUAAGUGGAGUCUAUGAAGUAACUCAUGUGGGUUUAAAAACACUUCACAGUGCUUCACUUAAAGGAAUGAGAAAAAGCAGAUGUUUUGUACCUGUGUGAAAACACGAUCAUGUUCUCUGCCAUUCAGCCAGCCCGGAGAAGACCAAAUCAAAUGCUUCCAGAGACCUUCAAUCCCUGUCUCCUCUCUGUUCAUCUCACUGCAUCAGCUUCCAAGCUGGAUCACCCACAACAGCUACGCUCACUAAAUGGGCACUUUAUUUUCUUUCAGUAGCUUUCACACACUCACUGUGCUUCAGCAGGAGCAGGAACGGCAUUAAUAGACUUCUCCUAACUAUCAUUAAACUAAACUAGAUCAUGACGAUACUUGUGCAGCAACCUGCAAAGAUAGCUUCUGAUAUCAUCUCACGGCAUCAGUGCCACCUAAAUCUUAGCGGUUUGCCAAAAUGUGUAAGCCCCAGGGAUUGAUCCUUUAUGUUAAAGUCUUUUACCAAUUUAGCACACACAGCAAUGAUUGUUCUAGUGAGAAGCACCAGGAAGCCGCUGCUCUAAUAACCUAAACUCAACUAGCACACGGGCAGCAUAAGGAAUCACAAGGCUGAUGAUGUCACAAACAACUGCCCCCAAAGUGACAGGUUUGAUGUUUCCCCCCCUGUUGCCCUCAAACUGGAGUCAAGUAUGUCAAAGCUCUACAUGUGGAUUUCAUUUGAAGCAGCAUGAUUAGCGUGCAGACGCUUUACUGUGAUCCCCCCUCCAUGGGAAACCCACACUCGACGGGAAGUGGUAUGUUUUUGUUAACAACAAACAGGCAUAAAUCACAUAAGUGGUGCAACACAGCCGUAUCACUGGUCCUUACACCCAGCUGACAUCAAGAUUGCUUUUAAGGUAAUUACCAUUAGCUAAUGAUAUUUAUGUUCCUAAAAGUUUAUGUUGAACUGUGUGCCUAUAAUCCGGAACCUGUGCAAUAAAUGUGGUAAUUGUUUUGUGUCUUUUUCUCUUUUUAAAAUACUCUCUGAUGGCGUGUAUUGGGAAAAUGAAUAUGACUUUAACAGUAACUGAUCAGUCAGACCUUUCUGGUUACUUACAACAGAUUGAUGGAAAGACACUCAAGUCAGUCAGACAGUCAGUGAAGAAGCAAGUAAACAGUUGAAUUUAUCAAGAUAUG